CCUACGGGCGGCAGCAGUAGGGAAUUUUCGUCUAUGGGCGCAAGCCUGAACGAGCAAUGCCGCGUGAACGAGGAAGGUCUUCGGAUCGUAAAGUUCUGUUGAAGGGGAAAAAGAGCGGAGAGAGGAAAUGGUCUCCGAUUGAUAUUACCCUUCGAGGAAGUCACGGCUAAAUACGUGCCAGCAGCCGCGGUAAUACGUAGGUGGCGGGCGUUAUCCGGAUUGAUGGGGCGUAAAGGGUGCGUAGGCGGCCUGCUCAGUCUGGAGUGAAAGGUACCGGCUCAACCGGUACAGGCUCUGGAAACUGGCGGGCUAGAGAGCAGGAGAGGGCGGUGGAACUCCAGGUGUAGCGGUAAAAGGCGUAGAUAUAUGGAAGAACACCAGUGGCGAAGGCGGCCGCCUGGCCUGUUACUGACGCUGAGGCACGAAAGCGUGGGGAGCAAAUAGGAUUAGAUACCCUAGUAGUC
rnacentral:rRNA from 1 species